rnacentral:tRNA from 1 species
GGUUGUGGGUUAGUGGUAGAGCACUUGUCUAGCACGUGUGAGGCACUGGGUUCGAUUCUCAGCACUA